rnacentral:lncRNA from 1 species
GUUUAAGUUAUUAUUCCGUCCAUUAACCUUUUCAAUCAUUAAAAACUAUUGUUUUUAAAAUGUUAUUUAGGGGGUAUAUUGUUUUGUAUGAACUUUUUUUAUGUUUUUAUUUUAACUGUUUAGGAAUAGCAUCCAAUUAAUUUUGCCCAUUUCAUCAAAUAUGCCAUGUUAUAAUAUAUACCAACAUAAGACAAAAUGUCUUAACAUACCAAAGUGUGGUAAUUCAUUUUCCUUUGGAAAGCCGCUCAUUUUGCUAACAUAACAUUAAUUGUGCAGACUUACCACAUGAACAAAAAUUACCAGCAAGCAUCAUAACUUUAAUGCUUUUUUUAAAUUUAUUUAUUUGAGUACAUUCGUAUGCAGCUUCGUUUAAAUGAUCCUCUUCGUGAACCUUCAUUCCUAACUUCUGCAAUUGACCAUGUAGAUAAUAACAGCUUGUGACAUUCUUAUACAUUUGUACUUGGUUUAAACUGCAAAAUAAGCUGUCAAUUAUACAUGUUUAUUUUGUUGUAAUUGACAUUUUUGAAUUCCUGAAUGGUAAAAGAAGGCUUGCAUUUUAACAAUUUAAAUAGAUGUUGAACAAUUGUGUUCCAAGUGCAGUCUUUAAAACUAUAAGCAUGAUUAUCACACCUUGUCUGAAAUUAACCAAUACAGAUUAUUUUGUGUUAAAGCAAGCACUUUAGUACCCUUGAGUACUGUCAGAAUAAAGUUUUAUCUCUGUGUAAGGCUUGAGUACUGUCAGAAUAAAGUUUUAUCUCUGUGUAAGGCUUGAGUACUGUCAGAAUAAAGUUUUAUCUCUGUGUAAGGCAUAGACCAUUCAUCCUUUAUAGAGGUGCAGAGAGGCAUGAGUGUUCUUUUUCUGGGGAGAAACAUUUUUUGAGGACUAAGAUCAAAAAACAUUUUUCACAAUAACAUACAGGAACGAGAAAUUUCAUGUGAAACUCAAUGUUGAAUUUAUUUUAUAUUCAUUAUUUUUAAAUGUAAACAAUUUUCCCUGAAAUUAUUUUUUAUGAAUGGUAUGUCUUUGUGCUAUAGUAUGUGAUAUUAUUUCUUAUCUGUCCAAACUACUGUAAAUUGAAGAAAAAUGUGUGUAUAUUUAUUAUUGUGAUUGCUUAAUAAUCAAUGCAAAUUUGAAAAUAAUUAUUGCAAUUUUUUGAAAUACUGCAUAGAAAUAGGUGCAAAACAUAUCCUGUAGCAGUUUUGCAAUGAAUAAAAACAUUGCAACUAUUUUGGAAUUUCCAUUUUCUGUUAAUUGUUCUAUGAAAUAAACUGUUAGUUGUGUGUUUAUUCUUAUUUGUAAUCAAAUAAAGAUAUGCUAAACAAAAG